CAUCGGCUUGCGGGUCGAUGUGAGCCAACGGUGAGAUACCACUCUUUGCGAGCUAGGGUUCUAACGGCCACCCGUCAUCCGGGGGCCGGACAGUACCUGGUGGGCAGUUUGACUGGGGCGGUCGCCUCCUAAAAGGUAACGGAGGCGCGCAAAGGUUUGCUCAGGCUGGUUGGAAAUCAGCCGACGAGUGUAAAAGCAGAAGCAAGCUUGACUGUGAGACCAACAAGUCGAACAGGGAGGAAACUCGGCUUUAGUGAUCCGACGGUUCUGAGUGGAAGGGCCGUCGCUCAACGGAUAAAAGUUACUCUAGGGAUAACA
rnacentral:rRNA from 1 species